ensembl:lncRNA
AUGGAAUGUUGGGGAGUUUUUUCUGCGAUAGCUGCCGCUUGUCUGCUAGGUAUCGGGUUGAGCCAGACGACGGCUCCCACACUCGCUCCUGCUGUAAUGAACACUACAUUCACUGACAAUGUGACUGCUGCCACAACAUUGACUGAGAGCACCACAUUAAAUGACAGUGUGACAGUGACUACCCCUAUGAUUCUCAGCACCACUUCCACAGGCUGCUCUUCCCUGAACACCUCCACCUGCGAGGUCUGUGUCCCAGGCUCUUACUCUAACAACGACAGCCUGCAGUGCUCCUGCUGCCCUGGUCCAGGGAUGUGUCAGUUCACAGCGGCUUGCCUCCCAUGUUCCCUAGGGUUCUUUCAGCCUCUGACUGGACAACAGCAAUGUUUGCCCUGUAGCCAGGGUUUCUACACCAACAUCUCCGGCAGCCAUGUGUGUCGAGCCUGUCACCCAGGAUCAUACAGCAACAGCACUGGUUCCAACUCCUGUCAAAACUGUUCUGCAGGUUUCUAUACAUCACAACAAAAUGCCACAUCAUGUAAUCCAUGUCUACAAGGAACAUUCUGCAACUCCUCCAGUUGUGCUCAGUGCGAGAUCUGUCCUGCCGGUACCGAGUCCCUACAGGCUGCAGCCAAGGAGUGUACACCUUGUCGUCCUGGCAUGCACAAGCCCCCCCUUCAGAACAUGUGUCAAAUCUGCAGCAGUGGCUUCUUCCAAAUCCACUGGGGUCAGGAGACAUGUAACCUCUGCCCCGAAAACCACUACUGCCCGAGUCCAGAUGUGAAUCCCAUUCUGUGCCCUGGCGAUGCCUUCUGUCCUGAGGGCAGCACUGCUCCAGGUUACUGCAUGGAGACCUUCUUCCGUAAGGCCGGGGAGGAAUGUGAGCUUGCCCCCGUCACCAUUGCUCUACUUGUUAUUGGAGGAGGAGUUGCCCUGCUCUUUGUAAUCCUGCUGGUGUUGCGUCGGAGACGAGACACAGAUGGAGAGCUCUCCCUUGCCCGACAACCUCUUAUACGCAAAGAACGGCCACAAGGCCGAUAUUACGGGAUCCCGUGUGAUGCUGAGCCAGUGUAUGCUGGUUGGUAAACACAUCCUCAGCAGAAUCAAAUUCUGUGUGUCUCAGCUGUAGACUAAUGACCAUAACCGAACAGAGACUCCCACCAUAUCCUAGCCAUUGUUUCAACUAAUAUCCAUUUGAGUGCUUUUUCAUGUGUUCUUGACAAGCAGAACGUAUUCUCUUCUGCAUUCUGUUCAUAAGUGAUGGCUGAUCCAUCACAUUUCAUUCUUUGCAUUCCCUUUUAGCUUAAAAUGAUAAAUGGUUUAAAAGAGCACACUAGAUGGUUGAGGAUGGUUGACAUAAGAGCUUGCUAGUCUUUUAUAAGGACUUGGUGGAGUGUUAUGAAAAGCACUUUUUUUGUUGUUUGUAAAUCUUAAUAUGUUCAUUGUAGAUUGGUGUGUAAUGUAUGCUUUAAAGACUGUUUUAAGUAAAUGUUUUCUAUUUUGCUCUGUCAUAAAAAUAAUAUACAGGUAUUUGCUGGUUAUACAGCGGAAUAAUAUUUUUGAUCUGAGGUACUAUGUUAUCUUUUUUAUUGUUUGUUUGAAAUGCAUUCCUUGACAUGUUCGUAAUUACUUUGUUGACCUAUGUUAUUUAAAAUAUUGUAUUUGUAUAUUUUAAGAAAACACUGAAUCCAGGGCAUAUGCUGAAAAUAAAGCACAACCUUGCGCUAUACUCAUUUGAACUUACAGAAAUGUUUGUAUGCAUAUACUAACCUAUAAAGUUAUUUCCAUGCAAGUGUAUGAAAAUUUUUGUUCAACAUUUUAACCUCAGUAAAUGUCGAACGGUGUGCGCGUGCGGGCGCGUGUGUGUUUAUGCAGGCACGUUAGUAACUGGAUAUUCAACAUUUUCGUGACCUGAGGACUGUACUAGGAAGUGAGUUAAACCUACUCAGAUUAAAAUCGAGGUUCAGGGUUGACACAUUCUGAUUGUCUUAAGUGGUGGUAAACGGUACCACGACGGUGAUAAAGAUGUCGGUUAGUUGAUUCGGUUUUAACUUAAUUGGAGUUUGCUUGAAAGGGGCGCGUUCGCAACACAGGCGGAAUUUUUGCAUAAUGGCUCGUGUUACGUAUUUUCCCACUGAAAAUGCACGUUUAUAAUGUCAGCAUAUGAGGAGUUUAAAAAAGGUAAACGGCUAAAUCUAACACCGUGGCAGCCAACAAACCCAGGGAGGCUUUUUGGCAGCGCGUUGGUGACAGUAAAUUCGUAAGAGCGGUGUUCUUGUCAUAUGCUCACUAUUUUGUCCUAAGGACUCUUCAUUUGUGAUAUGAUUGAGAUGUAACGUAAGAG